rnacentral:rRNA from 1 species
CCCUUAGAUGUUCGGGGCCGCACGCGCGCUACACUGAAGGAAUCAUCGUGUCUUAUCCUUGUCCGACAGGACCGGGUAACCCGUUGAACCUCCUUCGUGCUAGGGAUUGGGGCUUGUAAUUUUUCCCCAUGAACGAGGAAUUCCCAGUAAGCGCGAGUCAUCAGCUCGCGUUGAUUACGUCCCUGCCCUUUGUACACACCGCCCGUCGCUACUACCGAUUGAAUGGUUUAGUGAGACCUUCGGAUCGGUCCCGGCAUGGUGGGAAACUGCCUGGCCGUGGUUGCUGAGAAGAUGUUCAAACUUGAUCAUUUAGAGGAAGUAAACGUCGUAACA